rnacentral:rRNA from 1 species
GGCUGCACGCUGUUGAACUUCUCACACCUGUGCACUAUUCGGUUGUGGCCUGCUCGUUNGGGCUGCUUCCGCCUUUUACAUCACACCACAGUCCAGAAUGUCUUGAACUAUAAAGUAACAACUUUCAACAACGGAUCUCUUGGCUCUCGCAUCGAUGAAGAACGCAGCGAAAUGCGAUAAGUAAUGUGAAUUGCAGAAUUCAGUGAAUCAUCGAAUCUUUGAACGCACCUUGCGCUCCUUGGUAUUCCAUGGAGCAUGCCUGUUUGAGUGUCACGUUAACCCUCACCCCUGCGAUGUUCAAAGUCGCAGGNGGUGGAUUUGGAUUGUGCCGUAGCUGGCUCGUCCUGAAAUGCAUUAGCUUGCGCCUUUUAGAGUGCUCGGCAUGGUGUGAUAAUAAUCUGCGCCGUUGCCUCAGGCCUCUUCUGUGAGCGCUGCUUACAGUGGUCCCUUGUGGACAAUGUCUAAAGCUUUGGCCUCAAAUCAGGUAGGACUACCCGCUGAACUUAAGCAUAUCAAUNAAGCGGAGGA